GAAUUGGGGGUGCUUACACAUGCAGUCGAACGAUGAAGCCUUUCGGGGUGGAUUAGUGGCGAACGGGUGAGUAACACGUGGGCAAUCUGCCCUUCACUCUGGGACAAGCCCUGGAAACGGGGUCUAAUACCGGAUAACACUCUGUCCCGCAUGGGACGGGGUUAAAAGCUCCGGCGGUGAAGGAUGAGCCCGCGGCCUAUCAGCUUGUUGGUGGGGUAAUGGCCUACCAAGGCGACGACGGGUAGCCGGCCUGAGAGGGCGACCGGCCACACUGGGACUGAGACACGGCCCAGACUCCUACGGGAGGCAGCAGUGGGGAAUAUUGCACAAUGGGCGAAAGCCUGAUGCAGCGACGCCGCGUGAGGGAUGACGGCCUUCGGGUUGUAAACCUCUUUCAGCAGGGAAGAAGCGAAAGUGACGGUACCUGCAGAAGAAGCGCCGGCUAACUACGUGCCAGCAGCCGCGGUAAUACGUAGGGCGCAAGCGUUGUCCGGAAUUAUUGGGCGUAAAGAGCUCGUAGGCGGCUUGUCACGUCGGAUGUGAAAGCCCGGGGCUUAACCCCGGGUCUGCAUUCGAUACGGGCUAGCUAGAGUGUGGUAGGGGAGAUCGGAAUUCAACUUGAAGCGGUGA
rnacentral:rRNA from 2 species